rnacentral:rRNA from 1 species
GAUGAACGCUGGCGGCGUGCUUAACACAUGCAAGUCGAACGAAGCACUUUAUUUGAUUUCCUUCGGGACUGAUUAUUUUGUGACUGAGUGGCGGACGGGUGAGUAACGCGUGGGUAACCUGCCUUGUACAGGGGGAUAACAGUUGGAAACGGCUGCUAAUACCGCAUAAGCGCACGGCAUCGCAUGAUGCAGUGUGAAAAACUCCGGUGGUAUAAGAUGGACCCGCGUUGGAUUAGCUAGUUGGUGAGGUAACGGCCCACCAAGGCGACGAUCCAUAGCCGACCUGAGAGGGUGACCGGCCACAUUGGGACUGAGACACGGCCCAAACUCCUACGGGAGGCAGCAGUGGGGAAUAUUGCACAAUGGGCGAAAGCCUGAUGCAGCGACGCCGCGUGAGCGAAGAAGUAUUUCGGUAUGUAAAGCUCUAUCAGCAGGGAAGAUAAUGACGGUACCUGUCUAAGAAGCACCGGCUAAAUACGUG